GAUGAACGCUGGCGGCGUGCCUAAUACAUGCCAGUCGAGCGAACAGACGAGGAGCUUGCUCCUCUGACGUUAGCGGCGGACGGGUGAGUAACACGUGGAUAACCUACCUAUAAGACUGGGAUAACUUCGGGAAACCGGAGCUAAUACCGGAUAAUAUAUUGAACCGCAUGGUUCAAUAGUGAAAGACGGUUUUGCUGUCACUUAUAGAUGGAUCCGCGCCGCAUUAGCUAGUUGGUAAGGUAACGGCUUACCAAGGCAACGAUGCGUAGCCGACCUGAGAGGGUGAUCGGCCACAUUGGAACUGAGACACGGUCCAGACUCCUACGGGAGGCAGCAGUAGGGAAUCUUCCGCAAUGGGCGAAAGCCUGACGGAGCAACGCCGCGUGAGUGAUGAAGGUCUUCGGAUCGUAAAACUCUGUUAUUAGGGAAGAACAAAUGUGUAAGUAACUAUGCACGUCUUGACGGUACCUAAUCAGAAAGCCACGGCUAACUACGUG
rnacentral:rRNA from 1 species